AUUAGAUUUUGCAGCUGCAACAAAGACAAUGAAGCAGCAUCCAGUAAAUUUAACUAAGGUUUAACCGUAAAGUGAGAAAAUAGUAAGUGUCAAGAAAUUCCGCAUGCGGUGUUGAAGAAAGCAAGGAGGAGACAGCGGUCAGCGUUCAGCGGGUUAAAGCUGAAAGUCUUUGUAAGCGAUGGCAUUGUUAAUGAUUAACAAUUUUGGGCUAUUAAAAAUACUCAAUAAGGUGUUUAAACGCCAUCAACAUAGAUAGAAAUCAUCGCCAGUGCUAAAAUAAAAAUGCGAAAAAAGUUGAUGAUAAAAAAAGGAAACUGAAACCCACAAAUUUUUUGCGUUUGUCAAUUUGAGUUCAUUGAUGUCGAGGGAGGAGCAGCCAAUACACGUAAAUGAGUAUGAAACAUGCAGAUACUGCGUUUGCUUGUGUAGGUGCGCAAAAUUUUGGGUGCAGGCACAAAAACAAGACAAGCUUUGAUGAUAAAAAUAAAAAAGCGUGCAUUGACAGGCGGCUGAAUUGCGUCAAUUACACCAACAUUGUCGGAAAAAACCCUAAGAAAUUCAAAAAAUUUAUAUAAACGAGCGUACAUCUCACCAAAAAUUCCGUACGCCAAACUCAAACGCCAUCAAGCACUCGUAUCCGCUCGCAUGUAACAAAAGACUUAAGUAGCAAACCUGCGCCGAAUUACUUCAGCUAUAGCAGCCGUGUAGCCCCUAGCUCUGAUUUAUAGCAGACAUCUGAACGUGGUAAGACAAGCGCAUAAAUUUCAUAAUCCAAUUAUAACUGUAAAACAAAUGUGAAAAAACCAAAAGUUAUUAAUAAAAACUACAACAAAAAGUCAGCAAGGCAAGUAGAGAAACAAAAAAUAUAUAACAAA